CCCCAGUAUCUGCAGGGGAAGCUGGAAAAGUAUUGCUUGAAAACUGGGCCCCUCGCCACCCUGAACAAUACAGUGUAAGGCUUCUUCGCUUAGUGGAGAAGACACAAAGGAGCAGCAGGUCUCAGCUGGGAAGACUCGAUGAGCCGGAACUGAAAUCCUCUGAAGUCCCACUUGCCUGCAUAUCUGCUGGCUGAUGCUGGCUGUCAGCAGGACCGCUACGCCUCCCGUGGUCUGCUCAUGUAGCCCAGACAGCAAGUUGCGAGAGACAAAGAGAUUUCCAUGACUGCUGGUAAAGACUUGUGAGGCAUGAAGCAAGUUCUGCAGACACCAGGCCUAGGACCGUUCCCAUUGCAAAGUAAUCUCCUCCAAGCAGCCUCUCCAGACAGUGUCAGGUUUCUUGGGCUGAGUAUUUAUUUAGGAGGCUGCUGGUGAGUCUAAUCGCUUGGGACAUCUUAAUAACUGAAGUCGCAUUUGAUGGAAAAACUCAUAAAGAGGCUGUGGGUGAUUGAGGGCAUGUUUUCAGAAGGCUGGCUCCAAAUAUCCGCGAUGCCAUGUAGUUGGAAUUCUGCAGUGAGAAUGCGGAAGAAUUUUGAUGAAAGCAUCAGAGGGGUUUAUCUGAUUCUUCUAAUACAGUGUUUUCAACAAAAAAGAAACAAGUUCUCCAAUUGCUGAAAAGCACCAUUUAUUCGAGCUAGUAAAUGAAGUAUUUGUUAUUGGAAUUUAAAAAAAAAAAAGAAGCUAAGCUAUACCAUGGAUCCCUGAGGCAGAUUUUCAGGAAGCUGAGGCGAAGCAGAAAAAGGAAAGAAGAACUGAAAGAGAGAAGGCUUAGAAAAAUAUGCAGUUUGGUCUUGGACAUUCGCCAGGAAAAGCUGGAUAAUGAAGGAUUAAAACCAAAACAAAAAAGAAAAGGAAACAAGGGUAAGGAAAAGGCCAUAAAGAGCUGGCAGUGUGGUCAACAGAAACGAAAAGCCCCGAAUCUUGUCAUGGGUGGAGGGUGUGGGCACGGGGUGCAGGGCAGCAGGCCAAGGUCAAACUCCGGGCAGGAGAAAACCCUCCCCACAAACGGCAAAGAAAUGAACAGAGAGGAAAAGAUGAAUAUGGAGCUAGAAUAGAAAGAGAAAAGGAGGCAAUUUUAACAGGAAGCUGACCAAAAUAGACAUGUACAGUGCGAACUAAAGGGAAAGGAGAGAAGGGGCCGUUAACACUGCGUAAGCAGAGGAACUCAAGGAGAGAUGGUUUUCAGUGCUAAAAAGCAGAGGUCCUUCCAGUUACCUGCACAUUCUCUCCCUGUGGAUUGCGGAGCACGGAAGCUCGGGAUGUUGUCACAGGAACGGCUCCCGUGAUUUGGCCAGGAUCCCAAUUGUGUUUUAAGUGCUCGAAAGGCUGAGGGUAGCUAGCAGCAGG